ensembl:lncRNA
AUACAAGAAAUUCAAAGAAAAUGGGCAAAGAUUCUCAAUAAGCAAUUCACAUAAGGGGAAAUGCUAGGUGCUAACAAGUAUGUACAGAGAUGAUUCAUUAGUAAUCAGAGAGACGCAGAUGAAACAGAAUGAGGUGCCACUUUAACCUGAGAAAGAUGGCAAAAAAUUAGAAAGCUGGAUCAUACCAAAUGUUGCUGAGGGAGUGGGGAGAGGGAAACUAUAUAGUCCAUUCCUGCUGGGAGUGUAAACGGUGCAACCAUUCUAGGAAACAAUAUCAGAGUACAGUCAAUUCUUAUUAUUUGUGCUAGUUAUGGUCUGUAAAGUCACUGUGAACACUGAAUUAGCGAAUGCUGACUCAUGCUCCUAGGGGAGAUAAGGGUUAGGUUCCUUCGAGCCUCUGUUCACAACAUUUGUCAACUGAUCAAAACAAAAUCUUGUUUUACAUGUUUCUGUUUAAAGAUAUCUUAUUUAAUAUAUAUUGUUGAUUCGUUAACAUUGAACUCAUGGACAACAACACUAUAACUCAGGAAUGAAGCUUAUCUAACACAUGUAUUUUCUCCAUAAGGCACAUCACGGACUUUUUCGUGCUUUGGAGCCCUAGACAGCACUUCAGUGCUUUAGGUGGGUGCUAUUUUAAACAGCAAUAUUACCAAAAAAGCAUAAAAAUGGGAAAAACAUGACACUAAAUAGACUGUGGAAAGGAACUUGUUUACAGUAUGAACUGAAAAAAGAAGGUAGAGUGUCACCUUGUUAGACCUCAACUUGGAGCAUGUGCGUGGGUGACUCAGAUAUUUAGCUGCUCUGGGCAUGGCUGUGAGUGAUCCUCAUAGUACCCUGAGUAUUGGUUUUGGGGUUAGCGAGUCAGAGAAUUUGCAAAUGCAGAAUCUGCAAAUAAUGAAGAGGAACUAUGUUUAGCUAAACUUUAUGCAUAUCCUAUGACUAAUCCAUUUGACUUGUUGUUACAUAUUCCAGGGAAGAUCCUCCGUGGGUCCCUAAAAGGACACACACAAUGACAUUCACAAGACGUUGUGCUAGCAAAGAGUUGGAGGCAAUUUAGGUGUCCUCUACUAGGAAAGGAGAAAAGUGAAAUGCGAAGAAAUCAUACUAUAGAUUAUGCGUCAGUUGGGACCAAUGAAACCAGACGUAUAAAUAGCAAUAUAGAUCGAAAAAAUAGAAUUGAGUGAAAAAUGUAAGAAAUAGACUGCAACAUGUAACACAAUUCUUUUUAUGUAAAUUGAAAGUAUAAGCACAUGCACAAAACAACAGUACACCUUUUACAAAGAUAUGCUUAUCUUUAGGGGCAUACAUCCAACACAUCAGAGUGGAUGCUUAAGUGGGAAAGGGGAACGAGAUGGGAAUUGAAGGAUUAGAUGUAAAGGGGAAGAUAAAUAAAACAAGCAAGGAGCUUGCACAGACAUGGGUAUAAUGUGCUCGGAGCCUUCUUCUCCUGAGAUCCAAAAAUAAAAAGUAAAGAAGCGCCAUGAUGGGGGAAUUAUAAAGUGCUAAGAGGGCACAUACAAAAGGCAUCUGCCUCGCAUUCCAAGGUGAGGUGCCAGGGCAGGCUCCCUCGAGAAAGUGAUGUUUCAGGAGAAGCCUGAGGAAGAUUUUAGCUGAAGUAGACAGGGAGGAAGACGGCUUCAGGAAGUGAGAAGAGUGAGUUACCGGCGAAAAGGAGAACUGAAAGAAGUUCGGAAUUGCCGUAAGAGGCAAUGGUGAGGAGUGAAGACAGAGAGAUCAUUUACGGCUGGAUCAGAGAGAGCCUUGAGGUUAUGUUGCGGGUGGUAAGGUGACCAGAUGUGUACGUCAGAAAGCCCAUUCUGGCCACUUGUGGAAUGCAGGGUGGGCUAACAGGCAGUGGGCACACAGGCAGCGGGCAGGAGAGACUGUUGUGCUCGUUCAGGAGAGGGAAGGUGGUAACGCCCGCCCCAGGCUCGAUGAAGUGGGGAUGGUGAGGGGCGAUGCAGUCCAGAGAUAUCUGAGAGUUUUACAACUGGCUUGUUGUGAUAAUGAAGAAAUGAAGAGUGUUGCAAGUGGAAUAAAUUAAGAAUGUCCUAUCAUUGGAAUCCUACUAAAGUGUCAAGGUCAUGAAAGACACGGAAAGACCAAGAGACUGUCAGUCAGCUAAGGAGGCAUGUUAAUUAAACAUAAUGUGGUGUCCUGGAUUGGCUCCUAGAAUAAAAAAGGACAUUAACAGAAAAACUGGAAAAAUCUGAAUGAAGUAUGAAGUUUAGUUGAUAGUAUGUACGAAUGUUAAUUUCUUAGUUUUGAUAAAUGUACCGUGGUUAUGUAAGAUGUUAACAUUAGAGGAAGCUGGGUGAAGGGUAAACGGAAAUUCUC